UGGGGAAUAUUGCACAAUGGGCGCAAGCCUGAUGCAGCAACGCCGCGUGAGGGAUGACGGCCUUCGGGUUGUAAACCUCUUUUAGCAGGGAAGAAGCGAAAGUGACGGUACCUGCAGAAAAAGCACCGGCUAACUACGUGCCAGCAGCCGCGGUAAUACGUAGGGUGCAAGCGUUGUCCGGAAUUAUUGGGCGUAAAGAGCUCGUAGGCGGUCUGUCGCGUCUGCUGUGAAAUCCCGAGGCUCAACCUCGGGCCUGCAGUGGGUACGGGCAGACUAGAGUGCGGUAGGGGAGAAUGGAACUCCUGGUGUAGCGGUGGAAUGCGCAGAUAUCAGGAAGAACACCGAUGGCGAAGGCAGUUCUCUGGGCCGUAACUGACGCUGAGGAGCGAAAGCGUGGGGAGCGAACAGGAUUAGAUACCCUGGUAGUCCACGCCGUAAACGUUGGGCGCUAGAUGUGGGGACCAUUCCACGGUUUCCGUGUCGCAGCUAACGCAUUAAGCGCCCCGCCUGGGGAGUACGGCCGCAAGGCUAAAACUUAAAUGAAUUUGACGGGGUCAUAGCUGUUUCCU
rnacentral:rRNA from 1 species